rnacentral:rRNA from 1 species
CCUACGGGUGGCUGCAGUGGGGAAUAUUGCACAAUGGGCGCAAGCCUGAUGCAGCCAUGCCGCGUGUGUGAAGAAGGCCUUCGGGUUGUAAAGCACUUUCAGCGGGGAGGAAGGCGUUAAGGUUAAUAACCUUGUCGAUUGACGUUACCCGCAGAAGAAGCACCGGCUAACUCCGUGCCAGCAGCCGCGGUAAUACGGAGGGUGCAAGCGUUAAUCGGAAUUACUGGGCGUAAAGCGCACGCAGGCGGUCUGUCAAGUCGGAUGUGAAAUCCCCGGGCUCAACCUGGGAACUGCAUUCGAAACUGGUAGGCUAGAGUCUUGUAGAGGGGGGUAGAAUUCCAGGUGUAGCGGUGAUAUGCGUAGAGAUCUGGAGGAAUACCGGUGGCGAAGGCGGCCCCCUGGACAAAGACUGACGCUCAGGUGCGGAAGCGUGGGGAGCAAACAGGAUUAGAUACCCCAGUAGUC